GGCGUGCCUAAUACAUGCAAGUCGAGCGAACUGAUUAGAAGCUUGCUUCUAUGACGUUAGCGGCGGACGGGUGAGUAACACGUGGGCAACCUGCCUGUAAGACUGGGAUAACUUCGGGAAACCGAAGCUAAUACCGGAUAGGAUCUUCUCCUUCAUGGGGGAUGAUUGAAAGAUGGUUUCGGCUAUCACUUACAGAUGGGCCCGCGGUGCAUUAGCUAGUUGGUGAGGUAACGGCUCACCAAGGCAACGAUGCAUAGCCGACCUGAGAGGGUGAUCGGCCACACUGGGACUGAGACACGGCCCAGACUCCUACGGGAGGCAGCAGUAGGGAAUCUUCCGCAAUGGACGAAAGUCUGACGGAGCAACGCCGCGUGAGUGAUGAAGGCUUUCGGGUCGUAAAACUCUGUUGUUAGGGAAGAACAAGUAUGAGAGUAACUGCUCGUACCUUGACGGUACCUAACCAGAAAGCCACGGCUAACUACGUGCCAGCAGCCGCGGUAAUACGUAGGUGGCAAGCGUUAUCCGGAAUUAUUGGGCGUAAAGCGCGCGCAGGCGGUUUCUUAAGUCUGAUGUGAAAGCCCACGGCUCAACCGUGGAGGGUCAUUGGAAACUGGGGAACUUGAGUGCAGAAGAGAAAAGCGGAAUUCCACGUGUAGCGGUGAAAUGCGUAGAGAUGUGGAGGAACACCAGUGGCGAAGG
rnacentral:rRNA from 1 species